AUUCUAUGAUGAGGGCACUUUCGUAAUAAUUCUUUGUACAUUUCCUAUGCCGCAUACAAGGACUCAUAAUCCAUUUGUUGGAAAAGCAGUCAUCUCAUUCCUCAACUU
rnacentral:snoRNA from 1 species